GGGGUCCCAGCUCUUGGCUGCCGUCGCUGUCUUCGCCGUCAUCUCUCUCUUCAUCGUCCGGCCGCAUGGCCGAUCCUCUGCACGGCUCCCAUCAUCGUCGUCGCAAUUAUCAGCCACGGGUGCUCAAACCGCGUCCAUCGUCUCAGUCGGACCACCGACGACUGGACACACACAAGUAUCUUAACGGCUCGACAGAGGCAGUGGGGGGAAGUCGGUUUCAAGGAACCUGCCCCUGGGAGUUCAGCUGCCGCGCCGGGAGAUGGAAUCGCACCGCUGCCUCUGGACUGGAAGCCCACAGAGGCCUCUCCAUCACCCAACAGUGGCAGCUCCUUUCUUGUCUCGGUUUUAAAAAAAAGAUUAACACGUUGUGUGUUUAUUUGCUCGAAACGUUUCUAUCUGUGCUGCAAACUGGUAUUAACCGGUUUUGCCGGGAGUGUUUUCCCCUUCAUUUAGUUCCCAAUAAUGCGUCCAAAAAAACCCAACGAUGUGAACAACACGAGUUCGAAGCCAGGAUAUCAGCGGCGCGAGGCCUUUGUUCUGGGGUGUAGAUGAGCGAAGGGCUCAUUCACUGAGCGCCACUGCCGCUCACCCACCCAAGUGACUGUGGCGGGCAGGGCUCUAUAUUAAUAGAGACCCCCUUAGCGGGGUCGUCUCAGGACAGCCGCUUCUCGGCAAACUCCCCGCGUGAGACCCCCACCCAGAAGGCGACGGGCAAAACCCGGCCGCUAAAAAAUAAAAUGACUAAACGGCUGACUCGACGCAACCACCAAAACCUCAAGGCUGCCCAUAACCACGUCACCCCCGCCCCCCGUGUCCACCCACCACCACCACCCACGGGUGUGUGUGUGUGUGUCGAUGUGUUAAUUGCGAGGAACGGUGGUGCCAUCGGCGAGCGAGCUGCGCUACGAACUCGGCGUCUUGAGUUCGAUUCCCGUUCACGGUCGUCACUGGCGACGAUCAUCUGAACCGGUCCUGGGCCUCCCCUAGGUCGACGCAGCCUCAAAUGAGUAAAUAUUGCCACUAGGGAGACAAAGCCGGUCGGACGUGGUGAUGGCCACCCACCACCCCUUGUAUGCCCCAAAAGUCUGUUCGUGUUACACGGGGAUCUUGUCUUUGUCAGUGUAUUAGGAACUCCCAGCCAAGGCGAACUUUGGUGGUGAUUAUCUCAACUAGUCCUGGUCCUUUCUCCUAGGCAAACGCAGCCUUCAAAAGAGUACAGCAGCUGUCCAAAACAUCAGCACGGGGGGAGCAGCAAGGACGGCCACACGCGGCGUGAGCCACGCCUCGUGCCCCGUGCCGACCUUGAUAGGUGCUCGCACGCGGCACUUUGACCGGCAGCAGCUUGUGACGGCGAGGCGGGGUGGUGACCGGGAUGGGUGGGGCUCUCUCUGUAAUUAUUGCUGCUGAAUUUGAAUGAUCUCAAUGCGCGCAUUCAUUGAGUCACGUUGCCGGUGAGCAGUGGACAUCCUCAACACGCCUGAGUUCGGCGCUUGAGCCUUUGCCUUUUUGUAAAAUGUAAUCCUGAGAACACAACGUUGGCUUCAGUUUGGAUAUCCGGAGCCGUGGAUAUUUGAUACCUGGAUGUUUCGGCAGAACGAGCAAAGAACUCCGCGUGUGUAGCGAUCGAUUAAUCGAUCGCUACACACGCGCAGUUCGAUCGAUCGCUACACACGCGGACGGGCACAGCCGCGAGACGCGCGCAGGUCGGCAGGGAUUCGUUACGCUCACAGGACGUGAUGUUGGUGUUCAGUUUGUUGUCCUUCACCCCACACCUCCGAUUAGCACGAUUGGCUCCGUACAUUGCGAAAUAAGUUCAUCAUACGUACAUAAAC